GGCUCUUAGCUCAAUGGUAGAGUAUCUGCUUUGGAUGCAGAAAGCCCCAGGUUCAAUCUUCUAGCAUCUCCA